rnacentral:rRNA from 1 species
UACGAAGGGGGGCUAGCGUUGCUCGGAAUCACUGGGCGUAAAGCGCACGUAGGCGGAUCCUUAAGUCGGGGGUGAAAUCCUGGAGCUCAACUCCAGAACUGCCUUCGAUACUGAGGAUCUCGAGUCCGGGAGAGGUGAGUGGAACUGCGAGUGUAGAGGUGAAAUUCGUAGAUAUUCGCAAGAACACCAGUGGCGAAGGCGGCUCACUGGCCCGGUACUGACGCUGAGGUGCGAAAGCGUGGGGAGCAAACGGG